rnacentral:rRNA from 1 species
UACAGAGGGGGCAAGCGUUGUUCGGAAUUACUGGGCGUAAAGGGCGCGUAGGCGGCCCGCUAAGUCGAACGUGAAAUCCCCGAGCUCAACUCGGGAACUGCGUCCGAUACUGGUGGGCUUGAAUCCGGGAGAGGGAUGCAGAAUUCCAGGUGUAGCGGUGAAAUGCGUAGAUAUCUGGAGGAAUACCGGUGGCGAAGGCGGCAUCCUGGACCGGCAUUGACGCUGAGGAGCGAAAGCCAGGGGAGCAAACGGG